AUCCAGAUGACGAGUCCUCGAUAGGACGAAACGCGUGUCCUCGAU
rfam:Schistosoma curassoni strain Dakar, Senegal genome assembly, scaffold: SCTD_scaffold0000171